UCUCUGAUUGAUUUCUCAGCCGCCUCUCUCACCUCAGUGACUCAGUCCUCAGUCCUACAGUGAGCUUGUAUUAAUACAAGCUCACUGUAGCCUGAAUUGUAUUAAUACAAGCUCACUGUAGCCUGAAUUGUAAAAAAAAAAAAAAGUUUUUUAUUCUCACGACUCUCUCUCCGAACUCAGUUCUCUCCUCUUUCCUCUCUCUGUUCUCUCUCCCGAUGGAUGUGAUCCGGCGAUGGUUCUGGUUCGGCAAUGGUGGUCCGAUAGUCAUGGGUCCGAUGUGGUCUGAUGGUCUCCCUCUGUUCUCUGUUCUUUGUUCUCUCUUCGUGGGUCGGAGUGUGGGUUUUUGGUUUGGAGUGUGGAUCGAAGUAGUCGUGAGCGUGGAUCGAAGGGGGGGUCUGAUUGUUCGUGGGUCAUCCUCCGCCGGGUUCCACUCCUUUAAUCGAAGAUUUCUCUCUCUCUUCACUCCGGUGAUCGCUGCCUCCUUGUUGGAUCCACUGGCGCUGUGCAUAUUUGUGGUGAAAGAGAGGCUUGCACAUCUGCUCCAGUUUCAGAAGAGCAAGCAACUACAUUGGUCCCCUAGAUUGACAGAUUUAUUAGUUUUUGUGCUUCAGAGCAAAUUUGUUUGGACCCUGAAAAAUGUUUGCAUCUUUACUCUGCAAGUGAAUUGAAUUUGAUGGGCACUAAAAUCAUUAAAUCACUCACAUUACACAUAUUGAUGUUAUUAGUUGUCGGGGUUUCGGUCAUAUCUGUUUAUAUGAGGUUCAAGGAGCUGGUCAUUAUACUUGGAACGCCAAUGCAUGUGCAUGUGGAUCUGUUUCUGGCAGCUGUUUGGAAACUUCAGAAUUCGUCAGAACAUUUGACUACUUUGCAUCCACAUUUUCUUCACAUUUCUUUAUUGGUAAAUUGUUCCAAAACUGGCCAAUCAAAUUUGGAGGAAGAUAUCUCUGAGGUUGAUCAUCUGGACGACCUUUUCCUCUACUGUUAUUAUGGCAUAUAUUUCAGGUUGUUACUGCUCCAAUGUCAACUCUAAAUUUCAUAGCUGUUGAAGCUUAAAAAAAAUACAUAUUGGUUUCUCUCAUUCACCAUGGGCAAGUAUGCUUCUUUUUUUUUACCCUUAUAUUGAUGGGGCUGAAGAGAAGGCUAUUAAAGAAAUAGAGGCAAAUAAUUCACAGUCUGGGUACAAUUUUUGGGCAACUAAAUUGCUGUCACUCUUUGAGACUAAUCAAAUUACUUAUUCUUUUUUUGGUGGCAAUUCUCUACCAGUCUUCCUAAGUACACUUCUUCAGCUGCUUGGAGAAAUCUAAAGAGCUUCUGUCAGCCCUACAUUGAAUUGGCGAAUAGUUAUAGCACUGGGGAAAUUGCAGAAUUAGAGGCGAACAUCCAGACAAACAAGGAGAAUUUUAAAAGAGACCAAAAUCUUGGACCGGUGGAGCUGGCUGUACCUAGCAAAGGUUAGUCUAUCACUUCGUUAGUUGAACUUGUUCAUAAAAUAUUAAUCAUUUGGCACUAGUUACUUCGUUAUGUAUUAUCUUGUUUUAACCUUGUUAAUUACUUUUGCAGGUUAUAAAUUGUUAAUAUUUUGUUUUAAAAUAUUUCGUUUUAUUUAUUAGUUUAACAGAGACCAAAUUAGUGAAUUGUCUGAACUUGUCCUCUCUUGCAUUUUAUCAAAGCUAACAAUGAAAGAUGUGGUUAAAAUUGGCAUACAAUCAAGGAGAUGGGUGAAUAUUCGGUUAUUGAGGAUUGAUCUAAAUUUUGAUGUUCCUAAUAUGUUCCAUAGCAUUUGCUUAAAUUCAGCUAUUUUCAAUUUGUGUCGGGAAAUAACAAAAAUUGGGAAAGUUCCUAUUUGACAAUGAAAUGUUAAGCAUACUACUGUCAAGAAUUGAUCUACUCGGCACAGUAUUUCAUGCCUAAUCCUAGUGAAGAUGUUUGACACUUCAAAUGGGGGUUUUUCAUGAUUUUUGUUGUUUCCAAAUACAAAUGGAAAAUAGUUGAAUUUAGGCAUUUUAUUGAUAUUAUGGAACAUGUUGAGAAAAUCAAAAUUCAGAUCAGUCCUCAGUAACCGAAUAUUCACCUAUCUCCUUGAUUGUAUGCCGAUUUUGACCACAUCUUUCAUUGUUAGCUUUGAUAAAAUGCAAGAGAGGACAAGUUCAGGCAAUUCACUAAUUUGGUCCAUGUUAAACUGAUAAAUAAAACAAAAUAUUUUAGCAAGAAACUUUAACAAUUUAUAGCCUGUAAAAGUAAUUAACAAGGUUAAAACAAGAUAAUCCAUAAAGAAGUGAUUAAUAUUUUAUGAACAAGUUCAGCUUACAUCUAGACAAAUCGAAGUGAUAGGCUAGCCUUUGCUAGGUACAUGAGAUUUGUGGGGGAGAGGCUUCCUUGGCAGUGACAUUAUCCUGGAACAUAAAUACGUAUAAGAGGCUUUGUAAAAUAAUAGAUACCAACAGUAGAAGACUGAAAUUUUUACACCAGAGGAAAGAGAAAAACAGGGACCGAUAUUCUGUUUAAUCACCAUGAACAAUGCUUUAAUAUUCAAAUUUUGAUAUCACUAAAAAGGUUAUUGCAAGAAAUGGAAAAGUAGCAAAUAGUGGUAAAAUAUGGGCUUUGCUCCUUAGCUCCCAUGCGGUUACAACUUAAAAA